rnacentral:lncRNA from 1 species
CGAGAACCGGCAGAAAUAUCGUUCAAAAGCGCCCGCGGUCACCGGAAGUUCACCAACUACUUCCUGCGCACCUACCUGCCCUGCCCUACCGUUCGCUGGGCUGUUUAAACAGCAACGAUGGUUCCGAAAGGUCUGGUCGAGCAGCAGACGGCGGAAAUUCUCCUGUAUCUGUUCGAAGAUGAAGUCGAGCUGGGAGAUCGUAAACUUGACGCGUGUCUGGAGGUUGACUCUGUGGUGGCUCAUUCAGAUGACAAUUUUGACCCCGUUGUCAUAGCUGAUAAGCUGAGACAAGUCGCAGAUUCCAUGACUGAUGACCCCAAGUUUAGAGAUGCACUGAGUGAGCUGAAGCGAGCAGCAGCGACUGAGGCUGCGGAGAAGGCUUUUAGCGAUGGUGUGGAGGUUCUGUGCCAGAGUCAUGUCGCUCAGAGAGCUGAAGUGGCUCCAGAGAUGCAGAUCAUCCGGGCCUCGGUAACAUUAGGGCUCUACAUCAAGAAGUCAUGCCCAGAGUUAAGAACAAAAGUCCAGUCUGCAAUGCAAGCAUUCCUCAUCCAUCGUGUGGGCGGUUGGAUAGAACAGCAAGGUGGAUGGGGAAAAGUGGUUUCACACUGAAUAUAUCGCCAGCAGUGCUUCUCAGGAAUGGAAUCUGCCAUCUUGAAGAAACAGAAUUUUACCGGGUGCUGACACUGAGCCAGUGUAUGAGCUUUAAUCUGUCUGAUCAGGGAUAUCACACACCCUCAUCGUCGGACGGACUUUUCUAUCUUAAGUUUCUGUGUUGGGCAAUGAGACAGUGCAAGUCACAGGGUGAGGAAAGGGUGUAUUACAGCUUUUUAUGAGCUGUGAGAAAUGCAUUCACUUCCUGCUGACUUGCAUGGGUUUUUAUAUAAUGUGAAAUAGCUGCUGUUCCAGACUAUUCAAAAAACAAACAAGGAUCAACCUAAUCAAUCAUGCUUACAAAAACAAUGGCGCACUUUCUAUAAUAAAACUACCGAAUGUCCUUUGUAUCA